rnacentral:rRNA from 1 species
GUUCCGCGUUGUGAGUCUAACACCAGUUGUAUAAACUUUUUACAACCGGUAGCGAUGGAUCCCUUGGCACGUCAUUCGAUGAAGACCGUUGCAAAUUGCGAUAAAGUGAUGUGAUGCGCAAGUCCACCACUUAUACGUGAAUCAUCGAGUUGUUGAACG